AUCGAACGCUGGCGGCAUGCCUAACACAUGCAAGUCGAGCGCCGCGGCGGACGGGUGAGUAAUGCCUAGGAAUCUACCCGGUAGUGGGCGAUAACGUCCGGGAACGGGCGCUAAUACCGCAUACUAUCAGAUGAGCCUAGGUCGGCUUAGCUAGUUGGUGGGGUAAAGGCCUACCAAGGCGACGAUCCGUAACUGGUCUGAGAGGAUGAUCGGUCACACUGGAACUGAGACACGGUCCAGACUCCUACGGGAGGCAGCAGUGGGGAAUAUUGUGCAAUGGGCGCAAGUCUGAUGGAGCCAUGCCGCGUGUGUGAAGAAGGCCUUCGGGUUGUAAAAUACUUUCGGCGGGGAGGCGUUAUCCGAAGAAGAAGCACCGGCUAACUCCGUGCCAGCAGCCGCGGUAAUUC
rnacentral:rRNA from 1 species